AGGGAUUGGCGACGUGCUAUACAUGCAAGUCGAACGAACUCUGGUAUUGAUUGGUGCUUGCAUCAUGAUUUACAUUUGAGUGAGUGGCGAACUGGUGAGUAACACGUGGGAAACCUGCCCAGAAGCGGGGGAUAACACCUGGAAACAGAUGCUAAUACCGCAUAACAACUUGGACCGCAUGGUCCGAGCUUGAAAGAUGGCUUCGGCUAUCACUUUUGGAUGGUCCCGCGGCGUAUUAGCUAGAUGGUGGGGUAACCGGCCUCACGCAUUGGCCAAUGAUACCGUAGCCGACCUGAGAGGGUAAUCGGCCACAUUGGGACUGAGGAACACGGCCCAAACUCCUACGGGAGGCAGCAGUAGGGAAUCUUCCACAAUGGACGAAAGUCUGAUGGAGCAACGCCGCGUGAGUGAAGAAGGGGUUUCGGCUCGUAAAACCUCUGUUGUUAAAGAAGAACAUAUCUGAGAGUAACUGUUCAGGUAUUGACGGUAUUUAACCCAGAAAGCCACGGCUAACUACGUGCCAGCAGCCGCGGUAAUACGUAGGUGGCAAGCGUUGUCCGGAUUUAUUGGGCGUAAAGCGAGCGCAGGCGGUUUUUUAAGUCUGAUGUGAAAGCCUUCGGCUCAACCGAAGAAGUGCAUCGGAAACUGGGAAACUUGAGUGCAGAAGAGGACAGUGGAACUCCAUGUGUAGCGGUGAAAUGCGUAGAUAUAUGGAAGAACACCAGUGGCGAAGGCGGCUGUCUGGUCUGUAACUGACGCUGAGGCUCGAAAGUAUGGGUAGCAAACAGGAUUAGAUACCCUGGUAGUCCAUACCGUAAACGAUGAAUGCUAAGUGUUGGAGGGUUUCCGCCCUUCAGUGCUGCAGCUAACGCAUUAAGCAUUCCGCCUGGGGAGUACGGCCGCAAGGCUGAAACUCAAAGGAAUUGACGGGGGCCCGCACAAGCGGUGGAGCAUGUGGUUUAAUUCGAAGCUACGCGAAGAACCCUUACCAGGUCUUGACAUACUAUGCAAAUCUAAGAGAUUAGACGUUCCCUUCGGGGACAUGGAAACAGGUGGUGCAUGGUUGUCGUCAGCUCGUGUCGUGAGAUGUGGGGUUAAGUCCCGCAACGAGCGCAACCCUUAUUAUCAGUUGCAAGCAUUAAGUUGGGCACUCUGUUGAGAACUGCCGGUGACAAACCGGAGAAAGGUGGGGAAUGAACGUCAAAUCAUCAUGC
rnacentral:rRNA from 2 species